rnacentral:tRNA from 1 species
GGGUAAAUGGUCUAGGGGUAUGAUUUUCGCUUCGCAUGUGAAAGGUCCAGGGUUCGAAUCCCUGUUUAUCCA